UCAGAUAUAUUUUUUGUUCAGAUCAUUAGGGGUUCAACCCUUUCCCCUCCAUUCAACAAUCACAAUUCGCCUUCUCCAGAAGGUCCCUCGCCAUUGCUCACGGGGCUGCCUCUCUCGAGCUCGCGUACACCACCGCCUCUGUCCGACGACCACCGUGCCACCGCCUUCAGUCGGUCCUGCCGGACGCAAACCACGGCGUAGCCAGCAACGCUGCUCGCCAGCAACAUCAUCUGCCAUCGGAGCCACCCUUUCGAACCUAGCCAUCACGCCAACCUCCACAUCGCCGGCGACACCCAACAUCACCGGAGCUACCGCCGCAAGCCGCCGUCCACUAUCCUCUCGUAUCAUCACCGUGCCGCCAUCGCUUUUGCUCGUUCAAGCCGCCGAAUGCAACAAAACAUCCUCCAUGUGGUUGUCUGUUGUAGACGAUUGGGGGUUUCAGGGAUGGACUUCUGCGUUGAUCUGUUGCAACGAGAGAGAGGCCACUCCUUUCUCGGCGUGAGUGAUUUUAGUUCA
rnacentral:lncRNA from 1 species